rnacentral:piRNA from 1 species
GAAAGGCGGACGGCAGUAGCAGG